rnacentral:rRNA from 1 species
GUCCCGCAACGAGCGCAACCCCUGCCCCUAGUUACCAGCGAGUUAUGUCGGGGACUUUAGGGGGACUGCCGGCGCUAAGCCGGAGGAAGGUGGGGACGACGUCAAGUCAUCAUGGCCUUUAUGUCCAGGGCUACACACGUGCUACAAUGAACGGUACAGAGGGUUGCAAACCCGCGAGGGGGAGCCAAUCCCGCAAAGCCGUCCUCAGUUCGGAUUGCAGUCUGCAACUCGACUGCAUGGAGUUGGAAUCGCUAGUAAUCGCGUAUCAGAAUGACGCGGUGAAUACGUUCCCGGGCCUUGUACACACCGCCCGUCACAUCACGAAAGUCGGUUGCACCAGAAGCCAGUGGGCCAACCCUUCGGGGCGGCAGCUGUCGAAGGUGUGAUUGGCGAUUGGGGUGAAGUCGUAACAAGGUA